GCAGGGAUGCUGCCCGGGGCCCCAAGUGCACAAAGUGGGCGCGGGCUGUCCAGGAAAAGUUCUAGAAACAAUCAGCCCGGGAGCGCGGGGCGUCAGGGGUGCUGGAAACCGCCGGGGCCUCCUCUUCCCCUUUCCUUCCCCUGGGCGCACAGGGCAGCGCUGGCAGCUGUUUCUUCCCUUUAGAAACGCCAUUCCGAGCCACAGUGAGAAGUAAACACAGAAAAAGCUACAACUGGAUCCUCUGGGCCUCACCUCGGGUGUUUGCCACGGUCCCUGAUUUGUGUGAAGAUAGUGGUUCCAGCGUGAUGGGCGCGUGCGCGCGCGCGCGCGCGGAGUGAACUUGGCGCAGGACACCCCCUUGGACUUGAGACCGUGCGCCCAGGAUGUCUUAUCUCAGCAUCAAGGGCUUCUGCGGAGUGGCUGGGAGAUUAUGCAAUCGAACUCGUAACGCCCAUUCAGAGGGUGAGCUCAGCCGGAGCGCGGGUGCCUGCGAAGUAAACAGGAAUGCCGUCCGUCUUGCCUCCAGACCUCGUCUGCCCCCCGGGACAAAGUCACCUCCGGGAAGAAUCUCAGGGCUGAUUUUGUGAUGAAUUUUACCUGCCUGAACAAGACUGGAUACACUAGGGAUCUGAGUUUUAAAGGGCUAGUCUACCUUUUUUCAAAUCUAUUUUUUCAAGAUUGUAUUAUGCUGACCAGCGUGGCUCAGUGUGGCUGGCCUGGCUGAUAGGUUGAGCCUAUCUAUAAACCCGGAGGUCUUGAUUCGAUUCCCAGUCAGGGCACAUGCCUGGGUUGUGGGC